UCCGUAGGUGAACCUGCGGAAGGAUCAUUAUCGAGUUUUGAAACGGGUUGUAGCUGGCCUUCCGAGGCAUGUGCACGCCCUGCUUCAUCCACUCUACACCUGUGCACUUACUGUAGGCUUUCGGGAGCUUCGAAAGCAAAGGUUGAGGUUCGCGCCUCGCUUUUGCCGUAGUUGUUACCGGGGCUUACGUUCACUACAAACCAUUACAAGUAUCAGAAUGUGUAUUGCGAUGUAACGCAUCUAUAUACAACUUUCAGCAACGGAUCUCUUGGCUCUCGCAUCGAUGAAGAACGCAGCGAAAUGCGAUAAGUAAUGUGAAUUGCAGAAUUCAGUGAAUCAUCGAAUCUUUGAACGCACCUUGCGCUCCUUGGUAUUCCGAGGAGCAUGCCUGUUUGAGUGUCAUGAAAUUCUCAACCUAACGGGUUCUUAACUGGACCUGCUUAUGGCUUGGACUUGGAGGCUUGUCGGCUCGUUAGUUCGAGGUCGGCUCCUCUCAAAUGCAUUAGCUUGGUUCCUCUGCGGAUCGGCUUCACGGUGUGAUAAUUGUCUACGCCGCGAACUGUUGAAGCGUUUUAUAGGCCAGCUUCUAAUCGUCUCCUUGCGAGACAAGCUUUCAUCGAACUCUGACCUCAAAUCAGGUAGGACUACCCGCUGAACUUAAGCAUAUCAAUAAGCGGAAGGA
rnacentral:rRNA from 1 species